rnacentral:lncRNA from 1 species
GGCUCUCGGAGGUCGUGCAAGGGAUUGGGCCUAGCCCGGGAGGGAGAAGGGCCUAGAGCCUCAAGUCUGCGGGACUCCUGGGACUAGGCAGUCGAAGUCCUUUCUCAGAGAAGGGGUCUCUCCAGCCAGCUCCUGCCUCCGACUUGCCCUGUCCCCUCCAGAAGGAGCUCCCAUGUCCCUCUCUGUGUUGACCUUUCGAUUCUAGAAACAGAGACUCCCUGAUCUUUGCAAUUUCAUGUGGGGAGACUGAGGCUCACGAAGAACACACGUCAGGAGGAAAGCCAGGUUGGGAUUUGAACCCAAGCCUGUGUGAUUCCAAAUCCUGGGAACUGUUAAAAACAGAAAAUUUGGAGUCUUGAGUAAUUAAGGAAUUGGGAUUUCACUAUCAGCCAAUUUAACCAAUGACUGCAGAUGGAACUGAGAAGGGACUGGUGGCAAGAGAUAGACACCCCAGUUCCAUGGUCAAGGCUGAGGCAAGAUAGUCCACCAGGAGAGCCUGGAUUCAGAGAACCCAGGGCUCAGGUUUAGCCUCUGCCCUUUGCUGAUGUGUGACCUUGGACAAGUCAUUUCCCUGAGCUUUCAUUCACCUCUAUAUGAUAUUAUUCUCAUGAGUUUGCUAUGCAGGUAAGUGAUUCAUCAUGUGCUUUGCAUGUGGAGUAAGUGCUCAAUACAUUCUUGGCAUUAUUAUUAUAGUGGUGGUGAUUUGUUAAAUGGGCUUCAGAGGACAAGGGGUUAAUUGCUUCUUCCUGCUUGCCA